UCCAGCAUGGUGUAGUGGUUUGAGCAUUGGACUACAACUCUGGAGGCCAGAGUUCGAAUCCUGGCUUGGUC